GUCCCCGUAGCGCAGUGGUAGCGCGUCGGUCUCCUAAACCGAAGGCCGCGGGUUCAAUCCCCGCCGGGGAUG
rnacentral:tRNA from 2 species